UUGUUUUGUCGCUUUAGGUUC
ensembl:piRNA 21ur-4305 ncRNA